GACGGAGGGUGCAAACGUUGUUCGGAAUUACUGGGCGUAAAGCGCGUGUAGGCGGCUAAGUAAGUCGGGCGUGAAAUCCCACGGCUCAACCGUGGAAGUGCACUCGAAACUGCAUAGCUAGAGUCCUGGAGAGGAAGGUGGAAUGCUUGGUGUAGAGGUGAAAUUCGUAGAUAUCAAGCGGAGCACCGGUGGCGAAGGCGGCCUUCUGGACAGUGACUGACGCUGAGACGCGAAAGCGUGGGGAGCAAACAGG
rnacentral:rRNA from 1 species